GCCGCCGCCAUGGCCGAUGUGGAGGAGGGCGAGGAACCCUGGGUCCUUUCCUCUCACUCCGGGAGCGUAGGCUCCAAGUCGGGAGGCGACAAGAUGUUCUCCCUCAAGAAGUGGAACGCGGUAGCCAUGUGGAGCUGGGACUUUGAGUGCGACACCUGCGCCAUCUGCAGGGUCCAGGUGAUGGAUGCCUGUCUUAGAUGUCAAGCUGAAAAGCAGGAGGACUGUGUUGUGGUCUGGGGAGAAUGCAACCAUUCCUUCCACAACUGCUGCAUGUCUCUGUGGGUGAAGCAGAACAAUCGGUGCUCUCUGUGCCAGCAGGACUGCAUGGUCCAAAGAAUUGGCAAAUGAGAGGUGGCAGAGGCUCUCCUGGUGUGGUUGGUGACCCUGGACAACCUUGCCGUCAAGUUACUGGACAAAGACUAGACACUCCAGAGGAUUCAUCCUUCAGAUAGAGAGGAUAGUGUGCGGCCUUUGAGACUCAUCCAAAGCCUGCUUUAUCAUGUUGUUUAAUGUUGGGAACUUCUCUACAACUAAGAAGAUAAUUUAUUAAAAAUGGCCUUUC